CCUACGGGUGGCAGCAGUGAGGAAUAUUGGUCAAUGGACGAGAGUCUGAACCAGCCAAGUCGCGUGAAGGAUGACUGCCCUAUGGGUUGUAAACUUCUUUUAUAUGGGAAUAAAAUGUUCCACGUGUGGGCUUUUGUAUGUACCAUAUGAAUAAGGAUCGGCUAACUCCGUGCCAGCAGCCGCGGUAAUACGGAGGAUCCGAGCGUUAUCCGGAUUUAUUGGGUCUAAAGGGAGCGUAGGUGGAUUGUUAAGUCAGUUGUGAAAGUGUGCGGCUCAACCGUAAAAUGGCGGUUGAAACUGGCAGUCUUGAGUAGAGGAGAGGUGGGCGGAAUGCGUGGUGUAGCGGUGAAAUGCUUAGAUAUCACGAAGAACUCCGAUUGCGAAGGCAGCUCACUGGCCUGCAACUGACACUGAGGCGCGAAAGUGUGGGUAUCAAACAGGAUUAGAUACCCUAGUAGUC
rnacentral:rRNA from 1 species